UGAAUAAUAACUCCGUAAAGAAACUGCUGAUCUACCUACACUAAAACCCGAAACCAUUUCAUUUCAACAUUCGAAAUUACAAAUAUGUCAAAAUUGCAUUUGAAUUGCGCAAAGUGCAAACCGGAGGAAAAACAAAGCAAGCAACCUGAAACAACUCCAUGUAAGCACUGUCCGAUAGAACCAGACCUGGAAACAGCCCGAACGUGUAAAUGUGAAGCAACUGCGCGCGCCCUAAGCGAUGAUGUGCCCAGGUUUCUGGGAUUGAAAAACAUACGCGAUACAGUGCUGAGAGACCAGGAAAACGAAAUUGUGCUCAGUCCAAGCGUGCUUAAACAGCACAAAGACUCGAAGAAGACCAAAGACCUCAAGGAGACGAAAGAGCUCAAAAACCCCAAAGAGCCCAAAGCUCCUAAAGAGCCCAAAGACCCCAAAUUCUGCAAACAUCCAUAAACCCUACCAGAAAAUACAGAAAUCUCAAACCCAGUGAAAGAUGGUGGAAACACAGGCAGUGAAAAAAUGCAGCCUGAUAUAGCAAAGUCCAAAUAAAAAAUACCAACAUCUUUUACGUUCUUUUAUUAUGAUGAAAAUGUUAAAUAAUUACACAAAAUAUAUAAAAGAUAUUUAUAAA